GAUGAAGAACGUAGCAAAAUGCGAUAAGUAGUGUGAAUUGCAGAAUUCAGUGAAUCAUCGAAUCUUUGAACGCACAUUGCGCCCCUUGGUAUUCCGGGGGGCAUGCCUCUUCCAGCGUCAUUUCACCCCUCAAGCUCUGCUUGGUUUUGGGCCGCGCCGGCAACGGCGGGCCUCGAAAAUAGUGGCGACGCCAUCGUGCUCUCAGCGUAGUAAUUCUUCUCGCUGUUGGGUCCCGGUGGUCGUCCGCCAGCAACCCCCAACUUUCUUAAGUUUGACCUGGGAUGAGGUAGGGAUACCCGCUGAACUUAAGCAUAUCAAUAAGCGGAGGA
rnacentral:misc_RNA from 1 species